rnacentral:rRNA from 1 species
CCUACGGGGGGCAGCAGUGGGGAAUAUUGCGCAAUGGGCGAAAGCCUGAAGCAGCGACGCAGCGUGAGGGAUGAAGGUCUUCGGAUCGUAAACCUCUGUCAGCAGGGAAGAAAGGUCACGGUGCUAAGCAGCAGUGAAUAGACGGUAACAGAAAAGGAAGCACCGGCUAACUCCGUGCCAGCAGCCGCGGUAAUACGGAGGGUGCGAGCGUUAAGCGGAAUUACUGGGCGUAAAGCGCUCGUAGGCGGUAUGUCAAGUCAAGGGUGAAAUCCCUGCGCUCAACGUGGGAACUGCCUUUGAAACUGGCAACCUUGAGUGUGUGCGCGGCUAGUGGAAUUCCAGGUGU